rnacentral:rRNA from 1 species
AAUCAACGCUGGCGGCGUGCCUCAGACAUGCAAGUCGAACGAUUAAGACUCUCUUCGGAGAGUGUAUAAAGUGGCGCACGGGUGAGUAACACGUAGGUAAUGUACCGAAGGGUGGGGAAUAACUUAGGGAAACUUAAGCUAAUACCGCAUAAUGCAGCGGCUCGACAUCGAGACAGUUGUUAAAGGAGCAAUCCGCCUUUUGAGCAGCCUGCGGCAGAUUAGCUAGUUGGUAAGGUAAUGGCUUACCAAGGCUACGAUCUGUAACCGACCUGAGAGGGUGGUCGGUCACACUGACACUGAAUAACGGGUCAGACUCCUACGGGAGGCAGCAGUCGGGAAUUUUGGGCAAUGGGCGAAAGCCUGACCCAGCAACGCCGCGUGAAGGAUGAAGUAUUUCGGUAUGUAAACUUCGAAAGAAUAGGAAGAAUAAAUGACGGUACUAUUUAUAAGGUCCGGCUAACUACGUGCCAGCAGCC